rnacentral:rRNA from 1 species
GCGAGUCGAGCGGACAGAUGGGAGCUUGCUCCCUGAUGUUAGCGGCGGACGGGUGAGUAACACGUGGGUAACCUGCCUGUAAGACUGGGAUAACUCCGGGAAACCGGGGCUAAUACCGGAUGGUUGUUUGAACCGCAUGGUUCAGACAUAAAAGGUGGCUUCGGCUACCACUUACAGAUGGACCCGCGGCGCAUUAUCUAGUUGGUGAGGUAACGGCUCACCAAGGCGACGAUGCGUAGCCGACCUGAGCGGGUGCCCACCCCCAAUGGGACUGAGACACGGCCCAGACUCAAACGGGAGGCAGCAGUAGGGAAUCUUCCGCAAUGGACGAAAGUCUGACGGAGCAACGCCGCGUGAGUGAUGAAGGUUUUCGGAUCGUAAAGCUCUGUUGUUAGGGAAGAACAAGUGCCGUUCAAAUAGGGCGGCACCUUGACGGUACCUAACCAGAAAGCCACGGCUAACUACGUGCCAGCAGCCGCGGUAAUACGUAGGUGGCAAGCGUUGUCCGGAAUUAUUGGGCGUAAAGGGCUCGCAGGCGGUUUCUUAAGUCUGAUGUGAAAGCCCCCGGCUCAACCGGGGAGGGUCAUUGGAAACUGGGGAACUUGAGUGCAGAAGAGGAGAGUGGAAAUUCCACGUGUAGCGGUGAAAUGCGUAGAGAUGUGGAGGAACACCAGUGGCGAAGGCGACUCUCUGGUCUGUAACUGACGCUGAGGAGCGAAAGCGUGGGGAGCGAACAGGAUUAGAUACCCUGGUUAGUCCACGCCGUAAACGAUGAGUGCUAAGUGUUAGGGGGUUUCCGCCCCUUAGUGCUGCAGCUAACGCAUUAAGCACUCCGCCUGGGGAGUACGGUCGCAAGACUGAAACUCAAAGGAAUUGACGGGGGCCCGCACAAGCGGUGGAGCAUGUGGUUUAAUUCGAAGCAACGCGAAGAACCUUACCAGGUCUUGACAUCCUCUGACAAUCCUAGAGAUAGGACGUCCCCUUCGGGGGCAGAGUGACAGGUGGUGCAUGGUUGUCGUCAGCUCGUGUCGUGAGAUGUUGGGUUAAGUCCCGCAACGAGCGCAACCCUUGAUCUUAGUUGCCAGCAUUCAGUUGGGCACUCUAAGGUGACUGCCGGUGACAAACCGGAGGAAGGUGGGGAUGACGUCAAAUCAUCAUGCCCCUUAUGACCUGGGCUACACACGUGCUACAAUGGACAGAACAAAGGGCAGCGAAACCGCGAGGUUAAGCCAAUCCCACAAAUCUGUUCUCAGUUCGGAUCGCAGUCUGCAACUCGACUGCGUGAAGCUGGAAUCGCUAGUAAUCGCGGAUCAGCAUGCCGCGGUGAAUACGUUCCCGGGCCUUGUACACACCGCCCGUCACACCACGAGAGUUUGUAACACCCGAAGUCGGUGAGGUAACUGUAGAGGAGCCAGCCGCCUGAGAGUGGAUACCGGGAACG